CCUACAGAAGAAGCACCGGCUAACUCCGUGCCAGCAGCCGCGGUAAUACGGAGGGGUGCGAGCGUUAAUCGGAAUUACUGGGCGUAAAGCGCAUGCAGGCGGCCUGUUAAGUCAGAUGUGAAAGCCCGGGGCGUUAACCUCGGAAUUGCAUUUGAAACUGGCAGGCUAGAGUCUUGUAGAGGGGGGUAGGAAUUUCAGGUGUAGCGGUGAAAUGCGUAGAGAUCUGAAGGAAUACCAGUGGCGAAGGCGGCCCCCUGGACAAAGACUGACGCUCAGAUGCGAAAAGCGUGGGGAGCAAACAGGAUUAGAUACCCCUGGUAG
rnacentral:rRNA from 1 species